rnacentral:rRNA from 1 species
AGCAGUAUUGAACUGAAGAGUUUGAUCAUGGCUCAGAUUGAACGCUGGCGGCAGGCCUAACACAUGCAAGUCGAGCGGAUGAGUGGAGCUUGCUCCAUGAUUCAGCGGCGGACGGGUGAGUAAU